UGGGGGGAGAGAGUUCCAACACAAAACACAAAGUCCCUGAAGAGGAAAGAAACCUAAUGCACUCAAGGAACAGAGAAAGCCUUGCUGUAGCAUGCUGAAGAAGAGGUGUGAAAAUCAGAAGUCUGAAAUAGAUUUCACUGGGCUGAAAUCAAGGUAUCAACUGGGCUGUGUUAAUUCUGGGGUAUCUAGGUGCCUGAAAUAUGAAGAGUGGAGAACAUGCUCAGAAAGGGGAAAUUUGGAUACAGACAUGCACACAGGGAGAACACCAUAUGAAGAUGCUGACAGAGAUCAGGGUGAUGCUUCCAUAAGCUAAGGAGCACCAAAGACUGCCAGGAAGUCACCAGAAGACAUUUGGAGGCAUAGAACAGAUUCUUUCUAAUAGUUCUCAGAAGGAAGCAAUCCUAUUGACACGUUGGUCUUGGUCUGGAAUCCAGAACUGUAAAACAAAAAAUGUCUGUUCUUUAAAAAAUAAAU